rnacentral:rRNA from 1 species
UACGUAGGGGGCAAGCGUUGUCCGGAUUUAUUGGGCGUAAAGAGCGUGUAGGCGGCCAGGUAGGUCUGCUGUGAAAACUCGAGGCUCAACCUCGAGACGUCGGCGGAAACCAUCUGGCUAGAGUCCGGAAGAGGAGAGUGGAAUUCCUGGUGUAGCGGUGAAAUGCGCAGAUAUCAGGAAGAACACCCGUGGCGAAGGCGGCUCUCUGGAACGCAACUGACGCUGAGACGCGAAAGCGUGGGGAGCAAACAGG